AAAUGUUAUGACGAGCAAAUUAUUCUAAAUUAAGCUGAGACUCAUAACUUUCCAAUAACAGAAAACUGAACUUUAAUAGAUUUAAGUUUGUUUUAAUUUAAAACAUAACAAUUUAGUGAAUUGAAUCAUCUAAGUAACUAAAGAAAAAAAUCAACCGAGAGGCCGUAAGUAGUGGCGAGCGAACGCGGUAGUAGACUAAAUAAAUUUAAAAUUUUACUAGAAUAGUUAUGAAGCCAAAGAAGGAAGUCUAAUAAAGGUAGCCCUGUAUAGAAAAAUUUUAAAUUUAUGUAUGAGUAAAACGGUACAAGUCAUGUGCUGUUUAAAGUAUUGGGGGACCACCCUCAAAGUCUAACAUUUUUGAUGUUUGAUAGUGAAAUAGUACUGUGAAGAAACGGUGAAAAAGAACUUGUGAAGUUGAAAAGUUAUUGAAAUUUAAUGCUGACAAACUAUUGAAGCUUUUUUAAAAGUAACAAUGUACCUUUUGCAUAAUGGAUCAAUGAGUUUAUUUAUGUGGCGAGCUUAAACGAAACUUUGUGUAGGCGAAAAAAAAUUGAGUUUUAAAAUGCAAUUUAGUCAUUUGAAUAAGACCCGAAACUAAGUGAUCUAGCCAUGAGCAGGUUGAAAUUAAAAUAAUUAAUGGAGGACCGAACCCGUGUAUGUGGCAAAAUACUGGGAUGACUUGUGGUUAGGGGUGAAAGGCUAAUCAAACUUAGCGAUAGCUGGUUUUCUGCGAAAUCUAUGUUAGUAGAGCGUUUAAAAUACAUUAUUUUAGGGUAGAGCUCUCGAUAAGUGAUGGGGAUUGACGUCUUACUGAGCUUACUGAAACUUCGAAUAUAAAAUAAUAAGAUUUUAGGCAGACAGACUAUGAGUGCUAAGAUUCAUAGUCAAAAGGGAAACAGCCCAAUGAUUAUUGAUUAAAGUCUGAAAUAAAUAAUUAAGUGUAAAAAAUGUUAAGAAGUACUGACAGUCGAAAGAUAGGCUUAGAAGCAGCCAUUCUUUAAAGAAAGCGUAACAGCUCAUUGGUUGAGCUUUUUUGCAUUGAAAAUGUAUACGGACUUAAAUAUAGACUGAAAUCGUAAAUUUAAGUAGUAUAGUACUUAAAUUGUAGCAGAACGUUCUGUAAAUUUAAGAAGAUUUAUGGUGACAUAAAUUGGAGAAAUCAGAAGUGAAAAUAUUGAUAUGAGUAGCGAUAAACAAUGUGAAAAACAUUGUCGCCUUAAGUUCUAGGUUUCCAAAACAAGGUUAAUCCGUUUUGGUCAAAGUAAAUCGGUCUCUAAGAAAAAAACGAAAGUUGAAUUCGAUGAGUUAAAAGAAAAAAUUUCUUUAUUUUUUAUAAGUGACAAAAUAUAAAUAUUAUUUUUAUUCUAUGGUUCGUAAUAAAAGUUUUAUAGUAUUUUCGGGAAAUAGCUUAUAAGUUAACAAAACCGUACUUAAUCCGACACAGGUGAACUAAUUUAGUAAAUUAAGGCGCUUGAGAGAAUUGUGUUGAAGGAACUCGGCAAAAUGACUCCGUAACUUCGGAAUAAGGAGUAACUUUACAAGGGCAACCUUGUAAAGUUGUCACAGAAUCGGGGACAGCGACUGUUUAUUAAAAACACAGGUCUCUGCUAAUUUGUAAAAAGAUGUAUUGAGACUGACGCCUGCCCAGUGCUGAAAGAUUAAAGGAAAAAGUCUUUUUGGCUUUGACCCUAAACCCCAGUAAACGGCGGCUGUAACUCUGACGGUCCUAAGGUAGCGAAAUUCCUUGGCAUUUAAUUGGUGUCCUGCAUGAAUGGCGUAACGACUGUCCCACUGUCUCCAGCACAAACUCAGUGAAAUUGAACUUUCCGUGAAGAUGCGGAAUACCUGCGGCUAGACGGAAAGACCCCGUGCACCUUUUUACUAUAUUUAUAUAUUGUACUAAAGAUUUUUAUGUGUAGCAUAAGUGGGAAAGUUGAUUUAGCAAGUUUACGCUAGUAAAUUUUGUCCAACACUCUUGAAAUACCACUCUUAAAAGUUUUUAGUACUUAUUUUUUAAGACAGUGUAUAAUGGUUAGUUUGACUGGGGCGGUCGCCUCCUAAAGAGUAACGGAGGCGUGCAUAAGGUAAAUUAAAAUUGAAUUUUAUCUCAAUUUGUAAGCAUAAUAGUGUAUAUUUGCUUGACUGUAAGAUUGACAAAUCAAGCAGGGACGAAAGUCGGUUAUAGUGAUCCGGUGAUUCUGAGUGGAAAUGGUCAUCGCUCAACGAAUAAAAGGUACGCCGGGGAUAACAGGCUAAUCAUUCCCUAGAGACCCUAUCGACGGAGUGGUUUGGCACCUCGAUGUUGGAUUAUCGCAUCCUGGAGCUGUAAGUGGUUCCAAGGGUUUGGCUGUUCGCCAAGGAAGGCGGUACAUGAUCUGAGUUUAGAACGUCGUGAGACAGUUUGGUCCCUAUCUACCGUAGGUGUUGAAAACUGAAAGGAGUAGACCUUAGUACGAGAGGACCGGGAAAAGUGAAUCUCUGGUUAAUCGAUUGUUAGACCACUAGCACUGUCGAGUAGCUAAAUUCAUAAUAGAUAAUCGCUGAAGGCAUCUAAGCGAGAAACUAACCUUAAAACGAGUUUUUACAAUAAAUGUAGUAGAUGACUACAUAGAUAGGCUUAAUGUGUAAGGAUUGUAAAAUUCUCAGCAUAUAAGUACUAAAUUUUGAUUUAUUAGAAACA
rnacentral:rRNA from 1 species